GGGGCUGUAGCUCAGCUGGCUAGAGCGCCUGCUUUGCAAGCAGGAGGUCAGGAGUUCAAUUCUCCUCAGCUCCA
rfam:Peregrinibacteria bacterium GW2011_GWC2_54_8 TY87_C0004, whole genome shotgun sequence.